rnacentral:rRNA from 1 species
CCCUUAGAUGUCCUGGGCCGCACGCGCGCUACACUGAGUGUCUGAGAUACGAGUCUGCCUGGUCCGGCAAGGUCUAGGUAAUCGCUAAAAGACACAUCAUGCUUGGGAUAGAUUAUUGCAAAUAUUAAUCUUGAACGAGGAAUUCCUAGUAAGCGCAAGUCAACAGCUUGCGUUGAUUACGUCCCUGCCCUUUGUACACACCGCCCGUCGCUACUACUGAUUGGAUGUUUAAGCGAGGUUCUCGAACUGCUAGCGACUUAGCUUCGGUGAGGUCGCAGUGUGGAAGUGAACCUAGCUUUGGUGUCUAGAGGAAGUAAAAGUCGUAACA